CCAGCAGUCAAUGCCUCGUUCCUCGUUCACGCGAGUCGGCAUUGCACAGCAGGCAGAGACACCAUG
rnacentral:snoRNA from 1 species